AUACGGAGGGGGCUAGCGUUGUUCGGAAUUACUGGGCGUAAAGCGCGUGUAGGCGGAUCGUUAAGUCAGGGGUGAAAGCCCGGGGCUCAACCCCGGAACUGCCCUUGAUACUGGCGAUCUAGAGUCCGGAAGAGGUGGGCGGAAUUCCCGGUGUAGAGGUGAAAUUCGUAGAUAUCGGGAGGAACACCAGUGGCGAAGGCGGCUCACUGGUCCGGCACUGACGCUGAGACGCGAAAGCGUGGGGAGCAAACAGGAUUGGAUACCCUAGUAGUCC
rnacentral:rRNA from 1 species